rnacentral:rRNA from 1 species
CUUUCUUUGCUGGCGACCGGCGCACGGGUGAGUAACACGUAUCCAACCUGCCCUUUACUCGGGGAUAGCCUUUCGAAAGAAAGAUUAAUACCCGAUAGUAUAAUGAUUCCGCAUGGUUUCAUUAUUAAAGGAUUCCGGUAAAGAUGGGGAUGCGUUCCAUUAGGUUGUUGGUGAGGUAACGGCUCACCAAGCCUUCGAUGGAUAGGGGUUCUGAGAGGAAGGUCCCCCACAUUGGAACUGAGACACGGUCCAA